rfam:Capsicum annuum cultivar Zunla-1 chromosome 1, whole genome shotgun sequence
UGAUGACGGUAAGGGCAAUUUCUAAGCAUACUUUUAAAUCUCUCCCAAGCUUGGUAGAGAUUCUUUCUUUCUUUCUGUCUGAAACUCAGAAUCUCAUUUCUCAAAUG